GGGUCAGUGAUAACAAACCAAUGUCACAAAGAGAGAUGAUGACAUACAACUAUGCUCAAUAGGAUCACACUGAAGACC